rnacentral:lncRNA from 1 species
CACAUUAUUCGAGGCUUUGAACUCUAGACGUAAGGCGUAACAUACCUUAAAAUCCUCUGGCCCCUUAAGCAUUAUUCCAGCACCACUGCCCUCAGUGCCUGAUGCUCCGUCUACAUACAACUUCCAGUUAAAUUCUGGAUGAGGCUCCCCCUCACGUUCCUUUCCUGCUAUCCCUGAGGAUGAUCCUCUCUGCUCCCCGUUGAAUGUGCAUUCUGCUAUGAAGUCAGCCAAGGCUUGAGAUUUUAUAGCUGUCCUAGGUCGAUACUCUAGACAGUAAGGGCUGAUCUCUACGGACCAAGCCAACAUCCGACCUGAAGUUUCCG